rnacentral:rRNA from 1 species
GAUGAACGCUGGCGGCGUGCCUAAUACAUGCAAGUCGAGCGAACAGACGAGGAGCUUGCUCCUCUGACGUUAGCGGCGGACGGGUGAGUAACACGUGGAUAACCUACCUAUAAGACUGGGAUAACUUCGGGAAACCGGAGCUAAUACCGGAUAAUAUAUUGAACCGCAUGGUUCAAUAGUGAAAGACGGUUUUGCUGUCACUUAUAGAUGGAUCCGCGCCGCAUUAGCUAGUUGGUAAGGUAACGGCUUACCAAGGCAACGAUGCGUAGCCGACCUGAGAGGGUGAUCGGCCACACUGGAACUGAGACACGGUCCAGACUCCGACGGGAGGCAGCAGUAGGGAAUCUUCCGCACUGGGCGAAAGCCUGACGGAGCAACGCAGCGUGAGUGAUGAAGGUCUUCGGAUCGUAAAACUCUGUUAUUAGGGAAGAACAAAUGUGUAAGUAACUAUGCACGUCUUGACGGUACCUAAUCAGAAAGCCACGGCUAACUACGU